UAUUAACAAUUUAAUCCAUUUCAACGGUUAAAAAUUAACGAGGAUGACAAGAUAACCAAACAGUUAAACGUGGCAUGCUAGUGUACCUUAUUCUAACAUACAAAUGCCAAUUUUUAUUAAUAAAAAUAGAUGAGAUUUUUAAUA
rfam:Gossypium hirsutum cultivar TM-1 chromosome 15, whole genome shotgun sequence